rnacentral:rRNA from 1 species
ACGAACGCUGGCGGCAUGCCUAACACCUGCAAGUCGCACGCGACCUUCGGGUCUAGUGGCGCACGGGUGCGUAACGCGUGGGAACCUGCCCUUAGGUUCGGAAUAACUCCCCGAAAGGGGUGCUAAUACCGGAUAAUGUCUUCGGACCAAAGAUUUAUCGCCUUUGGAUGGGCCCGCGUUGGAUUAGCUAGUUGGUAGGGUAAAAGCCUACCAAGGCGACGAUCCAUAGCUGGUCUGAGAGGAUGAUCAGCCACACUGGGACUGAGACACGGCCCAGACUCCUACGGGAGGCAGCAGUGGGGAAUAUUGGACAAUGGGCGAAAGCCUGAUCCAGCAAUGCCGCGUGAGUGAUGAAGGCCUUAGGGUUGUAAAGCUCUUUUACCCGGGAUGAUAAUGACAGUACCGGGAGAAUAAGCUCCGGCUAACUACGUG